rnacentral:rRNA from 1 species
CCUGAUCCAGCAAUGCCGCGUGCAGGACGAAGGCCUUCGGGUUGUAAACUGCUUUUGUACGGAGCGAAACGGCUUUCUCUAAUACAGGGGGCUAAUGACGGUACCGUAAGAAUAAGCACCGGCUAACUACGUGCCAGCAGCCGCGGUAAUACGUAGGGUGCGAGCGUUAAUCGGAAUUACUGGGCGUAAAGCGUGCGCAGGCGGUUUUGUAAGACAGAUGUGAAAUCCCCGGGCUCAACCUGGGACCUGCAUUUGUGACUGCAAAGCUGGAGUGCGGCAGAGGGGGAUGGAAUUCCGCGUGUAGCAGUGAAAUGCGUAGAUAUGCGGAGGAACACCGAUGGCGAAGGCAAUCCCCUGGGCCUGCACUGACGCUCAUGCACGAAAGCGUGGGGAGCAAACAGGAUUAGAUACCCUGGUAGUCCACGCCCUAAACGAUGUCAACUGGUUGUUGGGU